rnacentral:rRNA from 1 species
GACGAACGCUGGCGGCGUGCUUAACACAUGCAAGUCGAACGGUGAAGGGACCAGCUUGCUGGUUCUGGAUGAGUGGCGAACGGGUGAGUAACACGUGAGUAACCUGCCCCCUUCUUCUGGAUAACCGCAUGAAAGUGUGGCUAAUACGGGAUAUUCUGGGUCUGUCGCAUGGCGGGCCCGGGAAGGAUAUUGCUUCGGUGGGGGAUGGGCUCGCGGCCUAUCAGCUUGUUGGUGGGGUGAUGGCCUACCAAGGCGGUGACGGGUAGCCGGCCUGAGAGGGUGGACGGUCACACUGGGACUGAGACACGGCCCAGACUCCUACGGGAGGCAGCAGUGGGGAAUAGUGCACAAUGGGCGCAAGCCUGAUGCAGCGACGCCGCGUGAGGGAGGGAGGCCUUCGGGUUGUAAACCUCUUUCGCCAGUGAAGCAGGCCUGCUCCUUGUGGGUGGGUUGACGGUAGCUGGAUAAGAAGCGCCGGCUAACUACGUG